AUGUUUGAGAUUUUCUGUCUAAUUUUUUUUUUGUUUGUUUUUGUUUUGGUUUUUCUCCGGUACCGGGAACCGAACUCACGGCCUUGCGCAUGCCAGGCAGGCGCUUUUGCCGCUGAGCUAAAUUCCCAGCCCCGAGAUUUUCUGUCUAAAAAAAAGAAAGACCUGGUAGAAGAUCAUAACCCAGGGGGCGUCAGAGAAAGCAGAGGAAGCAAUUGCUGUGGAAGCAGUAGCCACAACAUCUCCAUAAGGCAAAAGAGAGAGAUGAUAUCAUUAACUCUGAUGUUCCAGCAGGGCUUGCACCUCGUUUCCUCUCCAGCCCUCCUUAAUGCUGUAGAUGGUACACAAAAGGUUAUACUCAGCACAUGGUUGUUGACUUAAUGACUUACAGAAGGAAAGGUAGGUAUUCUCUUUUGAGGAGGAGGUUUCUGGGGAAGAGAAUGGAGCAGCAUUACAUAAUGAUGCAAAUAGAAAGCAUAUUAUGAUGUUAUCUUUUCCAGCCUUGUUCUGUGAAACAUCUCAAAGAAGAGAAAAACCUCAUGAAAGGAAAGGAUAUUUUGGAGACCUUGGAAGGACUCAACAUAAGGAGAGAGGGAUGGAAGUAUAUAUGUGGUGUGAUAUUUCCAAAGGCUCCUCCUUUCAGGCAUCUGUGGCUGACUCAACUGUUAAAUGUUUAGAUCCAGAGACUCUUAUAUUCUUUUUACUUUGUAAAGGGCUCUUCAUGGUAGAGGAGUAUUAAUUAGAGAGGAAAGUGAGUGCCAGCAUAGUAGGAAAAAUAGAAUACUCGCAGCCCAGAGAGCAUGGCUUCUGCUCUAGCCCCAGUGGGGGCAAGAAUCUUUGAAAGACUGGGAUGAUAUUAAGCAAAUACGUGCAUGAUUGUGCACGUGUAUAACCAAUAUUUAGUUUAAUGACAAGAUAACUCAAUCUGGGAUUUGCCACUCAUCAAGCUUUAAGGCAAUUCUUUUAUUCAACUCCUCCCUACUCUUCAAACUUAGCAAUAAAAAAACAAACAACAAAAAGUACAGGAGAGCUGAGCUUUACACAGACUACAGCUUUACCAAGUUCUGAACUCAGAAAAUGCCUGGGAGGUAUUAGAAAGGGCAGUUAAUUGGUUGGCUCCUGAAUGUGUUAAUCCUGAGCAAAGCUGUGUUAGUACCUCAUUAGCACAUUAAUUCCACAGGCUAUUCUCUGCAGACCUGUAUCACUUAAUAUCCGGAGCAUUUCUUGAGUUGUUUUACAAAAUCAAGUUGUAUUGACUAGAAUUUCAGACUAAGAUUCUUGGCUCAAAAACUCUUGUUCAGGAACAUUUUCAAUUAAGAAAAGAUAAGAUUGUAAAUUUGUGUCUCAAAUACUGAGCAUGGUUCCUCCCUGCUCAAAAAACCUACAAUUGGUCUGGGCAUAGGCACGGUUCCUUGCCUGUCCUGUAAGCACACAGCAGCAUUCCUGCUCCACCAGCUGCACUGGAAAUGGCCUCUGAGACCAGUAGAGGAUGUGAUGUCCCCAUACACACCAAUAACCAGUAUCUUAGAAGAGAAAGGGGAGACUCACUGUUAAGGUACCAUCUUUACCUCAAAGUUAUGUGCCAGUUCUUCAAGUUGGAGCUAGUCCUCAUGGAGUGUGUGUGUGUGUGUGUGUGUGUGUGUGUGUGUGUGUUGCAGAGGACCAAACCUCGGGCCUUGGACAUGCUAGUCUAGCACUGUACCACUGAGUCACAUCCCCAACUCACCUCAUAGAUUUUUCAUGCACUUUAUUUUUUGCAUAUAUUUCCCACAGUGUUCUGUAUGCAUGUUUUGCUUCCUCGCUAGGCCAUAGAAAUGGUUCAAGGUGGGAGCCUAUUUUUGACCCCUACCUUCCCUGUAGAAUAACCUACCAUCUUAUAUCUAAUAAGCAUGUCAUGAAUAUUUGUUUUGAACAUUUGAGAGAUGGCAGGAAAUAAUGGAAAGAACACUAAGAAUCAGAUUCUCAUGUGGGGUUCUGCUACUAGCCAGGGAUGUUACCCUGUGCAAGUCAUGAUACUACAUGAUCCUUGGGUUCCUAAUCUGUGGAAUGAGGAGGCUCAUCUAAGGUCACUCCCAGUCCAACACACUAAAAAGGGGGGAAUGAAAACUAUUUUGAGUAGCCCAACUUUAUUUGCAAAAUUAAUCGCACUGGAUAUUAUUUAAAAAAAGGAGUUGAAAUAUUUCCUACAUCUUUUUGAUGUUUAUUAUAAUCUCUGUAGUUCAGGUUCUAAACCAAGAAAAUAAAAGUGCCAUCACAACAUUUUAGUUAAUUAACUUAAAAAUUACUUGAUUUCAUCCAGUGAAGACUCAUUGAUUGCCAUGUUUCACGUACUGUUCCAGUCCCUGGAAAUACCAAGAGAAGUAUGAUCCCAUCCACUGGCAUCUACAUGAAGGUCAUCUCAUAAAGGUGACAGACAAGUGAGAAUAUAACAGAAAUGCUAUGUGUAUAGAUGAAGGUGAGCAAAAGUAACUCUUCUGUGAGACAGGCCAGGGGGCAAGGGGAGAGCUGAAAGCCAAAGCUCAUGGUAUCAGACGCAGAGGCUUGAGCUAUUUUUAAUUCUAGCUGCAGAAGAUGAUAAUUUACAGAAAGAUGGGAGUGGUAAGAAGAGGUCAAGUCACCACCCAACUCUUAAUGAAGUAGCCUUUGGCCCCCAAAUGUGCUCAGGGGAUCAUAUCUGUCUGUACUGUUCACUAAGGCUCACUAGCACUGAGGACAGCAGCUGACAUAGAGAAGUCCUCAAUUAUAUGUGUAAUACAAAUAUAUAAUACACAGCCCUGUUUCUUUUUCUUCUUUUUUUGGAAACAGGGUCUCACUGUGUAGCUUAGGUUGGCCUCAAACUCAUGGCAAUCCUCCUGCCUCAGCCUCCCAAGUGCUGGGAAUACAGGUGUGUGCUACCAUGCUUGGCCCUGUUUCUUAUUCGGAACUGCCUUUUUGACUAGUUCAGAGUGCUUAGAAGCCAAGGAGAGACAGGGGCAUCAGAAGCCAAGGAGAGACAUUUCCACAAAGGACUAUUCAGUGAUAUCAUUCACGGCAUCUAUUGCCUGAGGACUGAGUGAAAUCAGACUGAGCAAUAGAUUGGGCAGGCAGGAGUCUUCCCGGUAACCUCCCAGGAAUAGUAGUCCACUGCAGAGCAGUGAGGAUUGAUAAGGAAGUGAGGAAGUAGAGAGAGCAAGCAGAGAGCUUGCUUUUAGGAACCACCACUGUGAAGAUGGUUUUUUUUUUUUUUUUUUUUUUUGGUUUUUCUCCG
ensembl:lincRNA